rnacentral:rRNA from 1 species
UACGAGGGGGGCGAGCGCUGUUCGGAAUUAUUGGGCGUAAAGGGUGCGUAGGCGGUUCCGCAAGUCCUGUGUGAAAUCUUCGGGCUCAACUCGAAGUCUGCACGGGAAACUGCCGGGCUUGAGUGUGGGAGAGGUGAGUGGAAUUCCUGGUGUAGCGGUGAAAUGCGUAGAUAUCAGGAGGAACACCUGUGGCGAAAGCGGCUCACUGGACCAUAACUGACGCUGAUGCACGAAAGCUAGGGGAGCAAACAGG